AUUUCUCUCCUUUCAGACGACAGCCUUCGGGCCGCCUCCAUUUCUUCACUCUCUCUGAUUUCUCCCUCCAUCGAGAAAUGGCAUCAGCUAGGGUUUUAGCCCUAACUGCGUCAUCAGCCAUCUCACGAUCAUCUUCUCGCGCUUCCACUUCCAGUUUCAUCUCUCGUCGCUCAAUGGCCGGCGGCGGAGUUUGUACUUGCUAGUUUAAGUGGUUGGGGGUUGCUAAUUUAUGGAGGAUACAAGCUUUUCGGUGGAAAGAAGGAAAAGAAAGAAGAGACUGUACCUGAAGCAAAGCACCAGAGUAGUUUGGGCUACAGAGAAUUUCCUUUCAGCUGUGUGCGUCUUAAAAUAAAUCAUAAUUAAUGUAGGGUGACCUAUGAAAUGGUUGUCUUUCAUUGUGAUCAUUCAAGGUUUGUGCGGAGCGUGUGUCAAUUAUAAUUUGAGGAUUUCUUUUCUUUCUUCUGAUUUCAGUAAGUACUAUAAUGUGAGGCAAGCUUUCUCUCUUGAGUUUGCCCAAGAUACCAGUUUAAUGAGUUCCAUAAAACUCCGUUACAAAUUUUGGAGUGGGUUUAUGGAUAUGAAUAUUGAUACCCCUUGUAAUGUCAUCUUGCUGAUCAAAAUGAUGAUUAUCCUAAAA